rnacentral:snRNA from 1 species
GGAUGUGAGGGCAAUCUGACCUCAACAACUGUCACGCUAUUGAUUGCCAGGGUAGAUUUGGCUGAUUUGGCUGACCAGGUGAGUGUUCCCUUCUCCUUCACUGUUCCAUGUGUGUUCUUCCUAAGCUGCAUACUCCCAGAAAAGGAUGACCAUCCCGCACAGAGGAGGACUUUAAAAUGACUGUGAAAAAGUCCUUAAAACAAAUAUUCAAAAUUGUCCUUUUGUGGGUAUGCUGAAGAUAUUU